rnacentral:lncRNA from 1 species
UUUCCUUCCCCUUCUGUCAGGACUGCCACCACGGCCAUAGUCAGGUUUUCUGUCUCCAACAGGACUUCUACUGCCACGACCAAAAUCAGCUCUCCUUUCCCUUCCAUUAGGACUCCUGCUACCACCACGGGCAUAUUCAGGUUUCCUGUCUCCUCCAACAGGACUCCCACUGCCUCGACCAAAAUCAGAUCUCCUAUCCCUUCCAUUAGGACUCCUGCUACCGCCACGGCCAUAUCCAGACUUCCUGUCCCUUCCAUUAGGACUCGCACUACCUCCACGACCAGAAGACUUUCUCGCCUUUCCAUUAGGAGUACCGCUACCGCCACGACCAUAAUCAGGACUUGCACGCUCUCUGCGAUAGGGACUAGGGCUAUGACCACGACCAGGA